rnacentral:rRNA from 1 species
CUCAGGAUGAACGCUAGCGGCAGGCCUAACACAUGCAAGUCGAGGGGCAUCACGUGUAGCAAUACAUGGUGGCGACCGGCGCACGGGUGAGUAACGCGUAUGUAACCUACCUUUUACCGGGGGAUAGCUCAGAGAAAUCUGAAUUAAUACCGCAUAAAACAGGGAUACCGCAUGGUAAUAUUAGUUAAAACCGAGGUGGUAAGAGAUGGGCAUGCGUGCCAUUAGCUAGUUGGAGAGGUAACGGCUCACCAAGGCAACGAUGGCUAGGGGGUCUGAGAGGAUGGUCCCCCACACUGGAACUGAGACACGGUCCAGACUCCUACGGGAGGCAGCAGUGAGGAAUAUUGGUCAAUAGGGGGAACCCUGAACCAGCCAUGCCGCGUGAAGGAAGAAUGCCCUAAGGGUUGUAAACUUCUUUUGUACGGGAGUAAAUGUAGGUACGCGUACCUAUUUGAAAGUACUGUACGAAUAAGCAUCGGCUAACUCCGUGCCAGCAGCCGCGGUAAUACGGAGGAUGCGAGCGUUAUCCGGAUUUAUUGGGUUUAAAGGGUGCGUAGGCGGGUUUGUAAGUCAGUGGUGAAAGACUGUCGCUUAACGAUAGCAUUGCCAUUGAUACUGCAGAUCUUGAGUACAGUUGAGGUAGGCGGAAUGUGUAGUGUAGCGGUGAAAUGCUUAGAUAUUACACAGAACACCAAUUGCGAAGGCAGCUUACUAAAGUGUAACUGACGCUGAGGCACGAAAGCGUGGGGAUCAAACAGGAUUAGAUACCCUGGUAGUCCACGCCGUAAACGAUGAUCACUGGAUGUUUGCGAUACACAGCAAGCGUCUGAGCGAAAGCAUUAAGUGAUCCACCUGGGGAGUACGUCGGCAACGAUGAA